UGCCAAUGGCCAAGGGGGAAGGAACCCUCCUAGAGGGAGCUAGGAGAAGAGGCCUGAGGUCUUCCUGAGCAGUAAGGAAACCAGUGGACUUUGCAGUAGUGCAAAAUGGCAUGGAGUCUGAAUUUCUAUUCUUCAGGAAUUUGUUUCAGAACAAAAAGAAGAUAUUUACCAGUUCCCAGUAACGUUCCUGGGAAGGGACUACAGCAUCCGGGACUAACUUUUUACAAAUGGAAAGAGAAUUGUUUUAAUUUGGUAAUAGAAUAUAACAACAUAAAGAGUUGUGUUCUUUUCAUGCUGAAGAAGGAAUGGUAUAAGAGAGCAAGGAAAACAGUAUUAGCCUUUAAAAAAGGGCAGAUAAUUGCAGGUAAGCAAUCUGUUUUGCUGGAGUAGGACCCACAGAAAAGCAGGAAGGGAAGAAAUCCUCCAGCCAGGAAACUUAUGAAGUCCCCCAGUGUGCAUCCUAUGUGGGGAAAUGAUCCAAGAAAAAUAUCUGCCUACAGUAGUUAGUGGCAGUACUUCUGCAUACUUAGUAUAGUACUUGGAAACGCACAGAAAGAUUACCUUUCAGUAGCAUUUUAAACCACUGAUAUUCACUUGGUGUCAAAAUAAAUGUUUCCUGAGUGUCAGCACAUCUUUCAAACUCCAAGCUAUCUUGCAAUAAGCCAGUUGAAGUGUACCCUUUAUGCAAAAAGAACAUCAAAUUUGAUCUCAGAAAAAUGCAUUCAUGUCCAUCAAACCAUAUGAUAUGAGAAAUUCAGACAACCUUGGUCUAGAAAUAUCAAAUAAGUGACACUGAGACACAUUGGCUUUGUGUGCUAAGUUUUCAAACCAGCCUCUGAAACUGCUUUCUCUAACUAUUUGACCCCUUCAAUCCUCUCCUGCCCAAUUAUUUACCCCACAGUGUUGUAAAACAGGCCCCCAAGAGAAACUAUUUCUUUAAUUUUUUUUUAAUAGAAGUAAUUUAUACUAUUAUCUAUUCUUAACUAUCUUGCACCAGAGGGACAAAUGUUCAUGGUGAUGGACUGCAUACACACUAAAUGGUUUGUGUGCAGUUAUAUUUAGAUAGCAAUGAAAACUUUAAAAGUUUCUGAUCUCCAUAGCUUCUGAUUUACUAAUAAAAGCUUACACAAGUUUCCAGAGGCUAUCUAUCAUCAGAAAAGUUACAUCUAUACUAAUGUGGGAAAGCAUUGUUCAGUUUUUUUUCUCUUCUACCCUUCUACAGUGAACCUGAAUGUUCUUUCUACCCAUCUCUUCCACCCUGCUCUAA